AACCCUAUGUCCCUAACCCCAAAAUUCCUUAAUUUCCUAUUCUAUUUCACUUCCAGUCUUCCACCCUCCACAGUUCCACGCACGUUGCAGCCCUCUGGGUGAUCUGUGCAGUGACGCGACAAUCUCCGGCGACGGCGACGGCGACGGCGACAACAGCAACAGUAUCUCACUCCGGCCGACGCAAACGGGGGAGCAGAGAAGAAAGGAGAUUGAAAACAACGCAUCAGAGAAAGACAGCGAGAAAUGAGAUCGCCAAGGUGGGGGUAUUUUCGAAUAAUCACAGGGACUAUUGCCGGAGGCAUUCUUGGCUUCUAUGCAAUGCAUCGUGCUGAACUCAAGUACAAGGAGAUUUGGAAUGAAAGAUUGAAGAAGUAUGAAGAAGAGAUGAAGAUGAAGCAAAGCAAAGAAGAAACCUCUGAGUUUCAGGAGACCUUUAGCACCCGGGGAUAAACUCCUGAAACGAGAAAAGGACAGUAUCUAGUGGCUUUUGACAUUCAAAUAUGAAGUGGUACAUUGAACUAUGUUGAUGAGAAAAAAGAUUACCCCCUUUCAGAUAUUGAUAACAAGGGAUGAUUAUUAACACUUCCCCGAGUUCAAAAGCUUUGGCUAGUGAAUUGAAUAUGGGUUUCGCAUGUGAAUUGAAGAGAAUGUUCUUGAAUAUUAUGCAAUGCAUUCUGUGAAAUGGCAUUUAUUUUGAGUUAAUAAUAUUCAUUUCAACUUGAUUGCA